rnacentral:rRNA from 1 species
GUAGUCCUAGCCGUAAACAAUGUGCACUUGGUGUAAGCCGGUUUUCGGUUUGUGCCGAAGUUAACGCGAUAAGUGCACCGCCUGGGGAGUACGGUCGCAAGUCUGAAACUCAAAGGAAUUGACGGGGGCCCGCACAAGCGGUGGAGCAUGUGGUUCAAUUCGAUGCAACGCGAAGAACCUUACCUGGGUUUGAACUGCAAACGAAUACUUCAGAGAUGGAGUAGGCUAGCAAUAGACGUUUGUAGAGGUGCUGCAUGGCUGUCGUCAGCUCGUGUCGUGAGAUGUUGGGUUAAGUCCCGCAACGAGCGCAACCCUUGCCUCUAGUUGCUCGCUGUAACAGGCAGCACUCUAGAUGGGACCGCCGGUGAUAAACCGGAGGAAGGUGGGGAUGACGUCAAGUCAUCAUGGCCUUUAUGUCCAGGGCUACACACGUGCUACAAUGGCCGGUAACAAAGGGUCGCCAAACCGUAAGGUGGAGCCAAUCCCGGCAAAACCGGCCUCAGUUCGGAUUGCACUCUGCAACUCGAGUGCAUGAAGUUGGAAUCGCUAGUAAUCGCGGAUCAGCAUGCCGCGGUGAAUA